rnacentral:rRNA from 1 species
CACAGGACUCUGCAAAGUGAUAGAACACGAAGUAUAGAGUCUGACGCCUGCCCGGUGCUGGAGAAUAAUACAUAAAGUCCAGUAAACGGCGGCAGUAACCCUGACUGUCUAUUAUAAUUUUAGGGCAGUCAUUAAAUGUAGCGAAAUUCCUAGACGUAUAAUUGACGUCCCGCAUGAAUGGCGUCACGACCUCCCCACUGUCUCCCACAUGAACUUUGUGAAAUUGGAUUUUCCGUGAAGAUACGGAAUACCUUACGCGGGACGACGAGACCCUGUGCACCUUGACUAUAGGCUGUUGUUGGAUUCAAAUACCAAUUGUGUAGAAUAGGUGGGAGCAUCUGCAAAAGUGAAAUACCACUCCUUUGGAAAUUUUGAAUUCUAGGUCCUCAAAGGGGACUUAAAGCUGCAGUUUGGUAGUAGAUCUGGGGCGGAGGCCUCCUAAAAAGUCACGGGGGCGCACAAAGGUUAGGAUUAUGGCGCAACUGCUUAAACUAGCCUAACUGUGAGAACAAACGUUCAAACAGAAACGAAAGUUGGUAGUAGUGACCCAGAUAUGCCAUGUGGAAGCAUAUCUGAUCAACGGAUAAAAGGUACGCCAGGGAUAACAGGCUGAUAUCCCCCAAGAGUUCUUAUCGACGGGGAUGUUUGGCACCCGAUGUCGACUCGACGCGUCCUACGGCUGCAGGUGGUCGUAAGGGUUGGACUGUUCGUCCAUUAAAGCGUUACGUGAGUUGGGUUUAGACCGCUGCAAGGCAGGUUGGUUACUAUCUGCGUAAGGUGUAAAAUACUGAAGGAAAGCGGCUUUAGUACGAAAGGAUCGGGGCCGCCAAACCAAUAGUCGUUAAACGGCCACGUUUGCACCUAUUACUGCUGAAAGCAACUAAAGCAGGAAGAGGUUCCUAAAACAAGUAUUUUUAAACGCUCAACACUCGGGCGUUGAUAGGCAUUUUUAUGAAUGUACUAAAAAAUAGAGUUUUUUAAUCUAUACAAAUUUUCAUUACAGGGUAUUGGC